rnacentral:rRNA from 1 species
AUUGAACGCUGGCGGCGUGCCUAACACAUGCAAGUCGAGCGGUAACAGGUGUAGCAAUACAUGCUGACGAGCGGCGAACGGGUGAGUAAUGCUUCGGAAUCUACCCAAUGGUGGGGAAUAACCAGCCGAAAGGUUGGCUAAUACCGCAUACGUCCCACGGGAGAAAGCAGGGGAUCGCAAGACCUUGCGCCAAUGGAUGAGCCGAAGUCGGAUUAGCUAGUUGGAGGGUAACGGCCUACCAAGGCGACGAUCCGUAGCUGGUCUGAGAGGACGACCAGCCACACUGGGACUGAGACGCGGCCCAGACUCCUACGGGAGGCAGCAGUGGGGAAUAUUGGACAAUGGGGGAAACCCUGAUCCAGCGACGCCGCGUGUGUGAAGAAGGCCUGCGGGUUGUAAAGCACUUUUAGUGGGGAUGAAAUGUUCAGGGUUAACACUCUGGAUUUUGACCUAACCACAGAAAAAGCACCGGCUAACUCUGUGCCAGCAGCCGCGGUAAU